rnacentral:piRNA from 1 species
UGCCAUGCUGACAACCUAACCGCUGUC